rnacentral:rRNA from 1 species
GAUGAACGCUGGCGGCGUGCCUAAUACAUGCAAGUCGAGCGAACGGACGAGAAGCUUGCUUCUCUGAUGUUAGCGGCGGACGGGUGAGUAACACGUGGAUAACCUACCUAUAAGACUGGGAUAACUUCGGGAAACCGGAGCUAAUACCGGAUAAUAUUUUGAACCGCAUGGUUCAAAAGUGAAAGACGGUCUUGCUGUCACUUAUAGAUGGAUCCGCGCUGCAUUAGCUAGUUGGUAAGGUAACGGCUUACCAAGGCAACGAUGCAUAGCCGACCUGAGAGGGUGAUCGGCCACCCUGGAACUGAGACAAGGUCCAGACUCCUACGGGAGGCAGCAGUAGGGAAUCUUCCGCAAUGGGCGAAAGCCUGACGGAGCAACGCCGCGUGAGUGAUGAAGGUCUUCGGAUCGUAAAACUCUGUUAUUAGGGAAGAACAUAUGUGUAAGUAACUGUGCACAUCUUGACGGUACCUAAUCAGAAAGCCACGGCUAACUACGUG